rnacentral:rRNA from 1 species
UACGGGGGGGAGCAAGCGUUGUUCGGAUUUACUGGGCGUAAAGAGCGUGUAGGCGGCCAGGUAGGUCUGGUGUGAAAACUCGAGGCUUAACCUCGAGAUGUCAUCGGAAACCAUCUGGCUAGAGUCCGGAAGAGGAGAGUGGAAUUCCUGGUGUAGCGGUGAAAUGCGCAGAUAUCAGGAGGAACACCGAUGGCGAAGGCAGGUCUCUGGGCCACUACUGACGCUGAGAAGCGAAAGCAUGGGGAGCGAACAGG